rnacentral:rRNA from 1 species
GAUGAACGCUAGCGGCAGGCCUAAUACAUGCAAGUCGAGGGGCAGCGGGAGUAGCAAUACUUGCCGGCGACCGGCGCACGGGUGCGUAACACGUAUACAAUCUACCUUUAACAGGGGGAGUAGCCCGGACGAAAUACCGGAUUAAUACCCCACUAACAAAUUAGAAUGGCAUCAUUUGUAUUUGUAAAGACUUCGGUGGUUAGAGAUGAGUAUGCGCCUGAUUAGUUAGUUGGGAGGUAACGGCUCACC